rnacentral:rRNA from 1 species
AGUAAGGAAUAUUGGUCAAUGGGCGAAAGCCUGAACCAGCCAUCCCGCGUGCAGGAUGAAGGUCCUAUGGAUUGUAAACUGCUUUUAUCAGGGAAGAAACGCCUUCAUUUAUGGGGGUCUGACGGUACCUGAGGAAUAAGCACCGGCUAACUCCGUGCCAGCAGCCGCGGUAAUACGGAGGGUGCGAGCGUUAUCCGGAAUCACUGGGUUUAAAGGGUGCGUAGGCGGGGAAUUAAGUCAGUGGUGAAAGCCUGUCGCUUAACGAUAGAAUUGCCAUUGAUACUGAUUUUCUUGAAUUGGGUUGAGGUUAGCGGAAUGUGACAUGUAGCGGUGAAAUGCAUAGAUAUGUCAUGGAACACCAAUUGCGAAGGCAGCUAGCUGGGCCUUGAUUGACGCUGAGGCACGAAAGCGUGGGUAGCGAA